AUUGAACGCUGGCGGCAGGCCUAACACAUGUAAGUCGAACGAGUGGCGGACGGGUGAGUAAGGGCUGGGAAACUGCCUGAUGGAGGGGGAUAACUACUGGAAACGGUAGCUAAUACCGCAUACCAUGAGAUGUGCCCAGAUGGGCUUAGCUUGUUGGUGGGGUAACGGCUCACCAAGGCGACGAUCCCUAGCUGGUCGGAGAGGAUGAACAGCAACACUGGAACUGAUACACGGUCCAGACUCCUACGGGAGGCAGAAGUGGGGAAUAUUGCACAAUGGGCGCAAGCCUGAUGCAGCCAUGCCGCGUGUAUGAAGAAGGCCUUCGGUUUGUAAAGUACUUUCAUCGGGGAGGCGUUACCCGCAGAAGAAGCACCGGCUAACUCCGUGCCAGCAGCCGCGGUAAUUC
rnacentral:rRNA from 1 species